rnacentral:rRNA from 1 species
GUGCCAGCAGCCGCGGUAAUACCAGCUGCACAAGUGUAUAUUAAAGUUGUUGCAGUUAAAAAGCUCGUAGUUGGAUAUCUGUCUUGACUGACCUAGCCCUAGGCCUUCGGGACUCUGGAGUGCUGGUUGCGGUAACGGCUGCUUCGGUAGUUUGUUGCCCGUCAUGUCGGACAUACUUCAGGAAAUCUAUCCUGCCUUUAAUUAGGUUGGGGUAAGGAUCCUGAUCGUUUACUUCGAAAAAUUAGAGUGUUUAACGCAGGCAUUAUCGUCGCGAAUAUAUUAGCAUGGAAUAAUAAGAUAGGACUUCGGCAUCGUUAGUGAGUGCCUUGUUGUGUGUCUGGCUCGUGCUUUUCGGAGUGCGUUGCUUGGUGAUGGCUUGGAUUUACGCUUGCUAGCCUUUCUAUUUGUUGGUUUCUAGAGCUGAAGUAAUGAUUGAUAGGGGAUAGUUGGGGGGUGCUCGUAUUGCCGGGCCAGAGGUGAAAUUCUCGGAUUCUGGUAAGACGAACUUAUGCGAAAGCAUUCACCAAGGAUGUCUUCUUUAAUCAAGAACGAAAGUUGGGGGGAUCGAAGACGAUCAGAUACCGUCGUUAGUCUCAACCGUAAACUAUGCCAUCUAGGGAUUGGUCGACGUUGAAUUUAUAGGACUCGAUCAGCACCUUAUUUGAGAAUCAAAGACUUUGGGUUCUGGGGGGAGUAUGGCCGCAAGGCUGAAACUUUUAAAGGAAUUUUGA